rnacentral:rRNA from 1 species
ACCUGGUUGAUCCUGCCAGUAGUCAUACGCUUGUCUCAAAGAUUAAGCCAUGCAUGUCUAAGUAUAAACACUUUUGUACUGUGAAACUGCGAAUGGCUCAUUAUAUCAGUUAUAGUCCACUCGAUAGUACCUUACUACUUGGAUACCCGUAGUAAUUCUAGAGCUAAUACAUGCAUCAAUACCCAACUGCUUGUCGGGCGGGUAGCAUUUAUUAGAUUGAAACCAAUGCAGUCUUCGGGCUGGUAUUGUGUUGAGUCAUAAUAACUGUGCGGAUCGCGCUUUGCGCGAUAAAUCGAUUGAGUUUCUGCCCUAUCAGCUUUGGAUGGUAGGAUAUGGGCCUACCAUGGCAUUAACGGGUAACGGGGAAUUAGGGUUUGAUUCCGGAGAGGGAGCCUUAGAAACGGCUACCACAUCCAAGGAAGGCAGCAGGCGCGUAAAUUACCCAAUCCUGACACAGGGAGGUAGUGACAAUAAAUAACAAUGCUCUGGCUCUUCGAGUCGGGCAAUUGGAAUGAGAACAAUUUAAAUCCCUUAACGAGGAUCAAUUGGAGGGCAAGUCUGGUAAAAUAAGGGUUUUAUUAUUGUUGCCCGUUGAAUUCCGAGCCGAAUGAUAUGCAGGUUGCCAAUAGAGGCCUAAGUUGUGUGGUACACACAAUAUGAUGUGUACCACUCCAAAUAUGUAGUUUAAUAGGUUUUUGGACCCAUUUCAGGAUAAAUUUUGGGAGGUCCCAAAACUUCAGAGGUUAUAAGUUUUGGGAGGUCCCGUCGAGUGUUGCUUGAAUGUUGCACGAAUUGGGUGGCUCGGGCGCGCCGACGAGUCGAGGAUGUCGUCAUUUCCGAAAUUGCCGAGUCGGGCGCAGGUGUACUGCGAGUCUCCAGCUAAGUGCGAUGUCGACGUCGAAACAACCUGCGGUCGGGCGCAGCAGUCGGGGGCGUGCGAGGGCCGAGUCCGCCUCGUCGUCGGCUGUUGCUGUCCAUACGGCUGCGGGGGGUGGAAGCGGAGAGCGUCGUGAGCCGGAGACCGCGGAGGGGGUCCAGCAGCCCGCGGAAGACGGCAGCGCAGACCCGGGUCUCGCGCAGAUUUUGGACGGUUUGAGCGCGGAUUUCUUGGCCGACCUUGAAGAAGAUGAAGCGGCGACGCCAACUGGACACCAGCCAACGGCAGCGCCAGAGGCAGGAACCCCUGCAGGCGAGACGCGAGCCGCGGAGGCCACCGAGGCGACGGCGGAGGCGACCGGGCCAGCGGCUGAGACGACCGAGCCCGCGACGGGGGCGACCGAAACAGCGGCGGAGACUACCGAGCCAGCGGCUGCNNNNNNNNNNNNNNNNNNNNNNNNNNNNNNNNNNNNNNNNNNNNNNNNNNUACAGAGGACGACGGAAAGGAUGGGGAGAUGGUAGAAAAGACGCAUAGUCGGUCGUACACCGUGGAUGAGUGGAUGCAGGAUAGGAUCAAGGAUGUGAUAGGACUUAACCAUAAAUCAGAAUCGAAUUUGCCCUGAACUACAAGAGUGCUUCGCCUCCGCCAAGAAACGGGAACUACAUUGGCCCUACAAGCUGUUGGCAAGUCAAGGAGUAGCUGAUCUAGUGGUUGUGUAAGUCUGGAUAAUAUAUUGGCCAGAUCUUACCUACUCUAGUGAUCUAUUAUCAAGUGCAGAUCCCAGAUCCGACGGAGUUAUUACUUGGCCCGAAGAUCUCUCGAUUUCUCAAACCCCCAGAGUCCCCGCUAUAGGAAGCGGCAAGUAACGCAAAGGAAGGAGGCAUCCACACCCCAAAGGCAACCCCGGCCCCGGAUCAAGUCCAGGCCGCCAGAUCAGAGCUUGAUUGAAUCGCUCUGGAUCUGGAUCCAUAACCGGCAGCAGAGCGAAGACUUCCGCGCUGCUCCACCCCAUCCCCGCGUCCCGCCAGGACGGUCAAGAAACACAUAAUCACAUCUCUUCGGAGCGCCGAGAGAGCAGAUCCAGCCCACCAACGGGUACACAAGGUGAGAAGUUCAGCAGAUCACGGAUCAUCGGGGGACCCCCUCCGUUAGUUGGUGUCUGGGCGCAGUUGGGAAGCCGGAUCCAGUCUUAACCAGAUUUUGACGGAUCCCGCUACACCACAGUGAUGACUGUGGGAAAGGUUGCGGGCGACUGGCUUUCGGGCUGAUUGUUUGCGGCUGGCCUCGUGUGUUGUUGUUUGUGCUGGGAGGCGGCUUUUCGUCUUCUUUCGUAUGGAGGAUAUUAACCUGGUUGAUCCUGCCAGUAGUCAUACGCUUGUCUCAAAGAUUAAGCCAUGCAUGUCUAAGUAUAAACACUUUUGUACUGUGAAACUGCGAAUGGCUCAUUAUAUCAGUUAUAGUCCACUCGAUAGUACCUUACUACUUGGAUACCCGUAGUAAUUCUAGAGCUAAUACAUGCAUCAAUACCCAACUGCUUGUCGGGCGGGUAGCAUUUAUUAGAUUGAAACCAAUGCAGUCGUAUUGUUGCCCGUUGAAUUCCGAGCCGAAUGAUAUGCA